UAACCUAGACUCAGGUUAUGGGUGUUC
rnacentral:piRNA from 1 species